rnacentral:rRNA from 1 species
AGUCGUAACAAGGUAACCGUAGGUGAACCUGCGGUUGGAUCAUUAACAAAUGUUUUGGUACAAUGCUGUCUUGAAGGGAUCUCCUUUCAAGGCACUUUGUAUUACACCCCAAAACUUUCCACAGCUUGCUGUGAGUGAACUGUAUCUCUUCUUUGGCGUGCUUGUACUUUACGGGGGGCAACUCUUGUAAAGUCUGGGAGCAAUCCCUGGCCGCCAACAGAAGCUCUUAACUAAACUUUAUAAACUUACAAGUCACUAUUUUAAAAAAGGGUUAAAAGCCUUGUAAAAUAAAACAACUUUUGGCAACGGAUCUCUAGGCUCUUGCAACGAUGAAGAACGCAGCGAAAUGCGAUAAGUAAUGUGAAUUGCAGAGUUCCGUGAAUCAUUAAAUCUUUGAACGCACAUUGCGCUCUAUGGCAUUCCGUAGAGCAUGUCUGUUUGAGAAUCAGUUUAACUCUCACUCCCUUUUUGUUGUUUACAACAAAGAGUGGUAGUGGAUCUUGAGGCACUUUUUCAUUUUGAAAAACGACCUUUAAAUGUAAAACUUUCACUCUUUCACAAAGAGCUAGUGAUAAAAAGCAUGACCCAAUAAGUUGACCCCUCGGGGAAGGCUUUUUAGACCUUGCUGGUUAAAGCUAGUUGUUUUGAAAGAGCAAGUACCAACAAAACACGGGAUGCAGCAAUGUAUUCUAAGACUUUUGAUCUCAAAUCAGACAAGACUACCCGCUGAACUUAAGCAUAUCAAUAAGCGGAGGAAAAGAAACUAACAAGGAUUCCCCUAGUAACGGCGAGUGAAGCGGGAUCAGCUCAAAUCUGAAAUCUCUUGGGUUCCCCAAGCGAAUUGUAGUUUAAAGAAACGUUUUCUGGGGCAGGUUAGGUCUAAGUUCUUUGGAACAAGACAUCAUAGAGGGUGAGAAUCCCGUAUGUGAUCUAGCUGCUUGCUCCUUUGUGAUACGUUUUCAAAGAGUCGGGUUGUUUGGGAAUGCAGCCCAAAAUGGGUGGUAAAUACCAUCUAAAGCUAAAUAUUGGCAAGAGACCGAUAGCGAACAAGUACCGUGAGGGAAAGAUGAAAAGAACUUUGAAAAGAGAGUUAAAUAGUACGUGAAAUUGCCAAAAGGGAAACGUUUGAAACCAGUUUUGCUUGUAGAAUCCCAACUGGCGCGAGCCAGCACAUGUUUCUGCAUGCAGGUCAGCAUCGGUUUCUUUUGAAGUACAAGGGUAAGGGGAAGGUAGCCCUCCUCGGAGGGUGUUAUAGCCUCUUAUCAAUGCUUUGAGGGAGACCGAGGACUGCAGUAAAGCCUUUGGGGAACUGUUCGCUAACUGAAGCAAGCUACUAGACAACUUGUUGACUAGCCAGCUUUGUUAGGUUAAUCGGAUGGCGUACCACAACUUUACUUAGGAUGCUGACAAAAUGGUUUUAAACGACC